ACACAAUCAUAUGUAAUAUAUAGCUGGGGGGAUAUAGAAGUGAAUAUGAGAAGACCUACCCCAACCUGGGAAAUUAGAGGAGUCUUCCUGUCUUCCUGGAGGAUUAAUUGAUUAAAGUGACUCAUUAUUUCAUUCCUACAACAAAUAUUUAGCAGACACCUCUUCUGUGUCAGAUACUCUUCCAGUUAUUAAGGGAUGCAGCACUAAGAAAGCAAAAAUAUUCCUCACCUUCAUGGGAGAAAUGCAACAAGUGUAACUAAACAAAAUAUUACUCAAGUUUGCAGCAGUGACAGGCCCAUAACAAGGCAAAGGUCUACAGACUAAUAUUGGGUUGAAGAUUUAUUUUUACAAGGGUGGCCAGGGAAGGCCUCUUCAAGGGGAAGUCUUUUGAUCAAAGAACUAAAGCAAGUGACAGGGAAGAACCUUGCAAAUAUCUGCUUCCCAGGCAGAGUAAAAACCAGGACCAAUGUCUUAAGUCAGGAACCAGCUUGAUGUAUUUGAAAAAGAGCAAAAGCCAGGCGUCUGUAGUCCCAGCUACUUGGGAGGCUGUGGCAGAAUGGUGUGAACCCCGGAGGCAGAGCUUGCAGUGAGCCGAGAUAGCGCCACUGCACUCCAGUCCAGCCUGGGUGACAGAGCGAGACUCCAUCAAAAAAAGAAAGAAACAAAGAAAGAAAGAAAGAAAAAAAGAAACAAAGAAAGAAAAAGAGCAAAAGCCAGUAGGGAUGGAGGAGAGUUAUUGAGGUUACUGCAGGAGGAGAUGGAGAUACAGACAUAGACAAUGACCAGAUUGCAGAUGUUGUGCAAGUCACAGGUGAGAAGAGUUGCUUGAUUUUAAGGGCUCU
rnacentral:lncRNA from 10 species